GACGAACGCUGGCGGCGUGCCUAAUACAUGCAAGUCGAACGCUGAAGAGAGGAGCUUGCUCUUCUUGGAUGAGUUGCGAACGGGUGAGUAACGCGUAGGUAACCUGCCUGGUAGCGGGGGAUAACUAUUGGAAACGAUAGCUAAUACCGCAUAAAAUGGAUUAUCGCAUGAUAAUCCAUUGAAAGGUGCAAAUGCAUCACUACCAGAUGGACCUGCGUUGUAUUAGCUAGUUGGUGGGGUAACGGCUCACCAAGGCGACGAUACAUAGCCGACCUGAGAGGGUGAUCGGCCACACUGGGACUGAGACACGGCCCAGACUCCUACGGGAGGCAGCAGUAGGGAAUCUUCGGCAAUGGACGGAAGUCUGACCGAGCAACGCCGCGGGAGUGAAGAAGGGUGUCGGAUCGUAAAGCUCUGUUGUAAGAGAAGAACGAGUGUGAGAGUGGAAAGUUCACACUGUGACGGUAGCUUACCAGAAAGGGACGGCUAACUACGUG
rnacentral:rRNA from 1 species